rnacentral:rRNA from 1 species
AUACGGAGGAUCCGAGCGUUAUCCGGAUUUAUUGGGUUUAAAGGGUGCGCAGGCGGCCAUUUAAGUCAGCGGUUAAAUCGUGGGGCUCAACCCCAUUCUGCCGUUGAUACUGGGUGGCUUGAUUGCGGUCGAGGUUGGCGGAAUUCGUUGUGUAGCGGUGAAUGCAUAGAUAUGACGAAGAACACCGAUUGCGUAGGCAGCUGACCAGACCGCAAAUGACGCUCAUGCACGAAAGUGCGGGGAUCGAACAGGAUUAGAUACCCUGGUAGUCCGCACAGUAAACGAUGAAUACUUGUUUUCGGCGAUAUAAUGUCGGAGGCAAAGCGAAAGCGAUAAGUAUUCCACCUGGGGAGUACGCCGGCAACGGUGAAACUCAAAUGAAUUGACGGGG